rnacentral:lncRNA from 1 species
UGAUGAUAUAGCUCCUCUCAUCCUCUUUGAACCCAACCCAGUGUGACAGCUAGAAUGAAAUCUGAAACUCCAGAUGUAGCCUGGCCAGAUGUGGCCAUGGGACUCUCAACCUCCAGGUCCUGGAUCCCCCACUGCCUGGAACACAGGCUGAAAUGGCACUCUUUCCCAGCAGCCAAGUCCCAUCCAUUGUCCCACACUGACCUGCCACCAACUAAGAUUUUUUAUUAUUCUAGUGAGAAUUUCCUUUCUGACAGCUUCCCUCCUACUGCUAAAAUUUUUUGAAAACCCUAUGCAUGGCCAUGUAUUUCUUUUAGGGUUCUCUAGCUGCAUUCCAGAUAGCCACCGUCUUUCUGAAUCUAGAUCCUGACUCACUAGUCCUUCCAUGUUCAAUCAUCUGGUCUUCUUUCUCUCCGUCUUUGAUACAAGUUGUUGGAAAGAAUGGGGUCAGGAAGCACACUCCAUGGCUCAAC